rnacentral:lncRNA from 1 species
AGUGGGAAAGCAUCUAGAUAUCAAAAUUAAUUUGCUUCUAUCUGCUAUUAGGUUUAUGGACCUGAGCAUGCCACCUAAUCAUUGCUUUUCCCUUUUCUUUCUGUAAAAAAUCCCUCAGAAUUCAUAUAAAGUUGCGAGUUUCAGGUUGGUUGGCUCUGACUGAUCACCUGUAUUAUGGACCAUCUGUGUGAUUAUGGGGAAAAGUUCAGGACACCAGCAACCUACAUUGGAUAGGACCACCUCUGACUCCAGGGAUUGCCACUCAAUCUUUCUGAGAUUAGCACCCACAUCCAACAAGGUGUGAUCCUGGUGAUCUUUGAAAAAAAGGCACUGAAACAACCAUGAUUUAAGUUUUUGGUAUUAUGAAUGCAUGAGAAAUUUUCUGGGAAAAAAUCAUAACUAUAUUAAGAAUAAAAAAUAAAAAAUUCCUAAGGAAAAUACUUGAUCUUGUAUGCACAUAAUAUUGACUCAGAAUAUAUGAGGAUUAACUCAAUAAACUUAAAAACUUAAUCUGAAAAUCACUGGAUUAAGAAAAUGUGGCACAUAUACACCAUGGAAUACUAUGCGGCCAUAAAAAAGGAUGAGUUCAUGUCCUUUGUAGGGACAUGGAUGAAGCUGGAAACCACCAUUCUCAGCAAAGUAUCACAAGGACAAAAAACCAAACACCACAUGUUCUCACUCACAGGUGGGAAUUGAACAAUGAGAACACUUGGACACAGGAAGGGGAACAUCACACACGGGCCUGUUAUGGGGUGGGGGGAGGGGGGAGGGAUAGCAUUAGGAGAUAUACCUAAUGUAAAAGACGAGUUAAUGGGUCCAGCACACCAACAUGGCACGUGUAUACCUAUGUAAUAAACCUGCACGUUGUGCACAUGUACCCUAGAAAUUAAAGUAUAAUAAUAAAAAAACUUAAUCUGAAAAUCUAUAAUUGCAAUGGAAUAUUUUAAUAUAUCCUUGCAGAAAAUUAAAUAGACAAGUGAUAGCAUAC